rnacentral:lncRNA from 1 species
UUUUUUAAUCUUUUAUUUCUGAUGUUUGUGAAUCUGUUUACAGUGUUUGUGUUGGAUUUUUAUAUCCCGAUUUACAGAAAAUAGAAAAUAAUAAAAAAAUGCUCCCCUUAUUCUGUUAUAUCCUUAUUCGCUGCUGUUUCCGCGUGUUUUUUGCAGGUAUUCGGCCAACCUGGAGGUACGGAGGUGGCCGUACGGAGGCGUGUGUGGCUGGGAGGCGUGGUGGUGCACGUGCGAGGAAGAGCAAAGGGGUUUCCCUGCUGCGGCGCUGGGAAGGGCUACUGCUAGGGUUUUCUGAUUUUGGUCUUUAGGGCUUAGGUGAUUUGGGCCAGAGGUAUCCGGGCUACCUAAUUCGGGUUUGGUAUUGGGCUGUAUGUAAUGUAUUUGGGGUCUGGGUAAUGGGUUUAAGCUACUAUUGUAAUUGGGUUAUGGUAUUGGGCUGUAUGAAUUUGGCCCAUUGUAAUUGCCCAUUGUAAUUGGACUUUAUUGACAUUGGACUUUUAAUAAUUUUAUUUGGUUUUUAUUGUCUAUGUUGGGCCGGGCAAUAUUGGGC